rnacentral:lncRNA from 1 species
CAUCUCCUCAAACAUUGACCUUACUUGACUACCCAAUUGUUUCUUAUUUUAAUCGCUUUUCGUAAGCUUUUUUCUUACUACUCUAGCAGCUGAAUGCAUCAUCCCUGCUCUGCUUAUUGCAUCUUCAUCUUAUUGUUAAUUUCUUACUUUCAUACUUCUCAUCUUAUUCCCUUUCUACAUAAUCGCUUCAAUAUCACUUCCACUAC